CCUCGCGGGGGUAUCCACAUUCGUAGCUUUUGCCUCACAGCAGCAACUUCUCAUCAAAUAGCUUCCAGUAUGCUUCGUGCUGCAUUCACUCUGCUCGUCCUGUUGUCCGUUUGUGGUACCAUGGCCGAUUCUACAGUGGAUACCAACGUGGUCCGCGGACAGCGAUUUGAUAAGUUAUUGUCCCGAGGCAGGCGAGAUAAUGAUGCUUGUAUCUACGUUGGAGCCGAUUGGUGGAACUGCCCUGGGCUUCCUGGUUGUUAGUUAAUAUCGGAGAAGAUCGUGCUCGGAGCACACGAUCAAUAUUUCAGCCAAUUUUCUGAACAUGCUAUUUCAGGGCUCCCAAGCGGGCAAUAUUGUUCAAGCGAUGUUUAGAAAAUAUGAAAUAUGUGAUAAAGUGUGGAGGGCAUUCUGUAAUUAAAUCUGGAUUCGAUGGGAGCUUACUUUGUUGCAAAGGUGGCCCUCCCUGAUGGAAACAAUCAUGGGGUGCUCCCGCGACUAUUUUCGAGGGCUGUUCUCGACGCCUUCCUUUCGAGGUUAGAUAUAGGAGUAUAUCAAUGUAUAUAGAAUAACGGGCUACACUCGGAACCAAAUUUCCUCACUGUUAUGAUCAAUAGAGGCUAAUGUAAUAAAUACUUA